ANUGCGNNCCUANCAUGCAAGUCGAACGGCAGCACGGGAGCUUGCUCCUGGUGGCGAGUGGCGGACGGGUGAGUAAUACAUAGGAAUCUGCCCUAUAGUGGGGGACAACUUAGGGAAACUUAAGCUAAUACCGCAUAAUCUCUACGGAGGAAAGGGGGCUUCGGCUCUCGCUAUUGGAUGAGCCUAUGUCUGAUUAGCUUGUUGGUGGGGUAACGGCCUACCAAGGCGACGAUCAGUAGCUGGUCUGAGAGGAUGACCAGCCACACUGGGACUGAGACACGGCCCAGACUCCUACGGGAGGCAGCAGUGGGGAAUAUUGGACAAUGGGCGAAAGCCUGAUCCAGCAAUGCCGCGUGGGUGAAGAAGGCUCGCGGGUUGUAAAGCCCUUUCAGUAGUGAGGAAAAGCUGAGUGCUAAUACCAUUCAGUCUUGACGUUAACUACAGAAGAAGCACCGGCUAACUCUGUGCCAGCAGCCGCGGUAAUACAGAGGGUGCAAGCGUUAAUCGGAAUUACUGGGCGUAAAGCGCGCGUAGGCGGUUUAUUAAGUCGGGUGUGAAAGCCCCGGGCUCAACCUGGGAAUUGCAUUCGAUACUGGUAAGCUAGAGUAUGGUAGAGGGAAGUGGAAUUCCAGGUGUAGCGGUGAAAUGCGUAGAUAUCUGGAAGAACACCAGUGGCGAAGGCGGCUUCCUGGACCAAUACUGACGCUGAGGUGCGAAAGCGUGGGGAGCGAACAGGAUUAGAUACCCUGGUAGUCCACGCCGUAAACGAUGUCAACUAGGUGUUGGAGGGGCGACCCUUUAGUAUCGUAGCUAACGCGAUAAGUUGACCGCCUGGGGGAGUACGGCCGCA
rnacentral:rRNA from 1 species